rnacentral:rRNA from 1 species
UAACUCCGUGCCAGCAGCCGCGGUAAUACGGGGGAUGCGAGCGUUAUCCGGAUUCAUUGGGUUUAAAGGGUGCGUAGGCGGCUUUGCAAGUCAGCGGUGAAAGGCCCGGGCUCAACCCGGAAAGUGCCGUUGAUACUGUGAGGCUGGAAUGCGGAUGCUGUGGGAGGAAUGAGUGGUGUAGCGGUGAAAUGCAUAGAUAUCACUCAGAACACCGAUUGCGAAGGCAUCUCACAAAUCCGCAAUUGACGCUGAGGCACGAAAGCGUGGGGAUCGAACAGGAUUAGAUACCCUGGUAGUCCACGCAGUAAACGAUGAUGGCUAACUGUCGGGUUUUAGGAUUCGGCGGCCAAGCGAAAGCGAUAAGCCAUCCACCUGGGGAGUACGACCGCAAGGUUGAAACUCAAAGGAAUUGACGGGGGCCCGCACAAGCGGAGGAACAUGUGGUUUAAUUCGAUGAUACGCGAGGAACCUUACCCGGGCUUGAACUGCAGGAGAACGAAUCAGAGAUGAUGAGGCCCUUCGGGGCUCCUGUGGAGGUGCUGCAUGGUUGUCGUCAGCUCGUGCCGUGAGGUGUCGGCUUAAGUGCCAUAACGAGCGCAACCCCUCUCCGUAGUUGCCAUCAGGUGAUGCUGGGCACUCUGCGGACACUGCCGCCGUAAGGUGUGAGGAAGGUGGGGAUGACGUCAAAUCAGCACGGCCCUUACGUCCGGGGCUACACACGUGUUACAAUGGCCGGUACAGAGAGCCGGGUCUGCGCAAGCAGUCUCCAAUCCCAAAAGCCGGCCUCAGUUCGGACUGGGGUCUGCAACCCGACCCCACGAAGCUGGAUUCGCUAGUAAUCGCGCAUCAGCCAUGGCGCGGUGAAUACGUUCCCGGGCCUUGUACACACCGCCCGUCAAGCCAUGAAAGCCGGGGGCGCCUGAAGUCCGUGACCGCAAGGAGCGGCCUAGGGCGAAACUGGUAAUUGGGGCUAAGUCGUAACAAGGUAGCCGUACCGGAAGGUGUGGCUG